rnacentral:rRNA from 1 species
GAUGAACGCUGGCGGCGUGCCUAAUUCAUGCAAGUCGAGCGAACAGAUGAGGAGCUUGCUCCUCUGACGUUAGCGGCGGACGGGUGAGUAACACGUGGAUAACCUACCUAUAAGACUGGGAUAACUUCGGGAAACCGGAGCUAAUACCGGAUAAUAUAUUGAACCGCAUGGUUCAAUAGUGAAAGACGGUUUUGCUGUCACUUAUAGAUGGAUCCGCGCCGCAUUAGCUAGUUGGUAAGGUAACGGCUUACCAAGGCAACGAUGCGUAGCCGACCUGAGAGGGUGAUCGGCCACACUGGAACUGAGACACGGUCCAGACUCCUACGGGAGGCAGCAGUAGGGAAUCUUCCGCAAUGGGCGAAAGCCUGACGGAGCAACGCCGCGUGAGUGAUGAAGGUCUUCGGAUCGUAAAACUCUGUUAUUAGGGAAGAACAAAUGUGUAAGUAACUAUGCACGUCUUGACGGUACCUAAUCAGAAAGCCACGGCUAACUACGUG